rnacentral:rRNA from 1 species
AGCGGCGGACGGGUGAGUAACGCAUAGGAAUUUACCCGGUAGUGGGGGAUAACCUGGGGAAACCCAGGCUAAUACCGCAUACGUCCUACGGGAGAAAGGGGGCUUUGGCUCCCGCUAUCGGAUGAGCCUAUGCCGGAUUAGCUGGUUGGUGAGGUAAUGGCUCACCAAGGCGACGAUCCGUAGCUGGUCUGAGAGGAUGAUCAGCCACAUCGGGACUGAGACACGGCCCGAACUCCUACGGGAGGCAGCAGUGGGGAAUAUUGGACAAUGGGGGCAACCCUGAUCCAGCCAUGCCGCGUGUGUGAAGAAGGCCCUCGGGUUGUAAAGCACUUUCAGCGAGGAAGAACGCCUGUCGGUUAAUACCCGGCAGGAAAGACAUCACUCGCAGAAGAAGCACCGGCUAACUCCGUGCCAGCAGCCGCGGUAAUACGGAGGGUGCAAGCGUUAAUCGGAAUUACUGGGCGUAAAGCGCGCGUAGGUGGCUUGAUAAGCCGGUUGUGAAAGCCCCGGGCUCAACCUGGGAACGGCAUCCGGAACUAUCAGGCUAGAGUGCAGGAGAGGAAGGUAGAAUUCCCGGUGUAGCGGUGAAAUGCGUAGAGAUCGGGAGGAAUACCAGUGGCGAAGGCGGCCUUCUGGACUGACACUGACACUGAGGUGCGAAAGCGUGGGUAGCAAACAGGAUUAGAUACCCUGGUAGUCCACGCCGUAAACGAUGUCGACCAGCCGUUGGGUGCCUAGCGCACUUUGUGGCGAAGUUAACGCGAUAAGUCGACCGCCUGGGGAGUACGGCCGCAAGGUUAAAACUCAAAUGAAUUGACGGGGGCCCGCACAAGCGGUGGAGCAUGUGGUUUAAUUCGAUGCAACGCGAAGAACCUUACCUACCCUUGACAUCCUGCGAACUUGUGAGAGAUCCCUUGGUGCCUUCGGGAGCGCAGAGACAGGUGCUGCAUGGCUGUCGUCAGCUCGUGUUGUGAAAUGUUGGGUUAAGUCCCGUAACGAGCGCAACCCUUGUCCUUAUUUGCCAGCACGUAAUGGUGGGAACUCUAAGGAGACUGCCGGUGACAAACCGGAGGAAGGUGGGGACGACGUCAAGUCAUCAUGGCCCUUACGGGUAGGGCUACACACGUGCUACAAUGGCCGGUACAAAGGGCUGCGAACUCGCGAGAGCAAGCGAAUCCCUUAAAGCCGGUCUCAGUCCGGAUCGGAGUCUGCAACUCGACUCCGUGAAGUCGGAAUCGCUAGUAAUCGUGCAUCAGAA